UUACACGGCUUUUUAUAAAUCAAUUUUAUGACAUAGUUAAUAGUAAUAAUAAAAAUAAAUAUCUUCAACGUACACCCACGGUCGUCUUUUUUUUAUACAACUAAGUCGGCAAACAAGCGUACGGUGAGCCUGAUGGUACGCGAUUACCGUAGCUUAUAGACGUCUGAAACACGAGAAGCAUUGCAAACUCGUUGCCGACCGCAUCCCCAAUUCCCCUCAGGAGUUCUGUUCACCUUACUCAACAGGAACACAACAACU
rnacentral:misc_RNA from 1 species